UACACUCCUGCGGGAGGCAGCAGUGGGGAAUAUUGGACAAUGGGCGCAAGCCUGAUCCAGCCAUGCCGCGUGAGUGAUGAAGGCCCUAGGGUUGUAAAGCUCUUUCACCGGUGAAGAUAAUGACGGUAACCGGAGAAGAAGCCCCGGCUAACUUCGUGCCAGCAGCCGCGGUAAUACGAAGGGGGCUAGCGUUGUUCGGAUUUACUGGGCGUAAAGCGCACGUAGGCGGACUAUUAAGUCAGGGGUGAAAUCCCGGGGCUCAACCCCGGAACUGCCUUUGAUACUGGUAGUCUUGAGUUCGAGAGAGGUGAGUGGAAUUUCGAGUGUAGAGGUGAAAUUCGUAGAUAUUCGGAGGAACACCAGUGGCGAAGGCGGCUCACUGGCUCGAUACUGACGCUGAGGUGUGAAAGCGUGGGGAGCAAACAGGAUUAGAAACCCCGGUAGUCCCAUGAU
rnacentral:rRNA from 1 species